GCAGCGUCCCGGCUCUGCCGCUGGUAGCAUCUGGCUACGAGAGGAAAGUCCGGGCAGCAUAGGGUGCUCCGCUUCUGAAAAUGGAAGCUAUUGGCAACAGUAGGAUACGACAGAAGAAAACAACCGCCAUCCUUUGAUAAUAAUGUGAGGAUUCGAUUCUUCACUAUAUUAUCCAAAACAAAAGAAGGAUGGUAAGGGUGAGAAGGUGGUGUAAGAGACCACCAGUCGCUGGGUGACCAGCGGGCUGUGUCGUCCGGAGGCUGCAAGUUCAUGUAAACCAUCGUUUGAGGAUUGCCCGUCCGACUAACUCCGAUGGAGGGUAGAAUGCUUGAGACAUGGGGUGACUCAUGUUCUAGAUAAAUGGCAGGCGCCGGUAUCGUCGAGAGGCAUUACCGGAACAGAACUCGGCUUAUAGGGACACUGUUUUC
rfam:Prevotella sp. CAG:592 genomic scaffold, scf412